rnacentral:hammerhead_ribozyme from 1 species
ACCCAGCUGACGAAUCCCAGAUAGAACGAAUCGCGCUUCCUGGAU